UACGGGGGGGGCAAGCGUUGUUCGGAAUUACUGGGCGUAAAGGGCUCGUAGGUGGCCAACUAAGUCAGACGUGAAAUCCCUCGGCUUAACCGGGGAACUGCGUCUGAUACUGGAUGGCUUGAGUUUGGGAGAGGGACGCGGAAUUCCAGGUGUAGCGGUGAAAUGCGUAGAUAUCGGUAGGAACACCAAUGGCGAAGGCAGCUUGCUGGGCAUUAUCUGACGCUAAGGCACGAAAGCGUGGGGAGCGAACAGG
rnacentral:rRNA from 1 species